GUUUCAUUCUUUACCUUGUGUCUACUCCUACAAUUUGUAAUUGUAUGGUCUGUUAGAGAUUUUUUUAUGAUUGGUGAAAUACCAAUCAUAAGAUCUUGAAUCUCAUGAUUCUCAUACAUAAUAUAAAACAAUGAUACAAUAUCAUACCUGAACUCAUGUUCUCUCAACUACUCAUUUGAUAUACCUUUUGAAAGAGUUUUUGGUAUGAUGAUCUUCCUCAACCAAAUCAUUAAUUUCUUGUGGGACCUUCCUUUUCUCUAUGAUGAGAAGAGAUGAAAACUAUUUGUGAUUUGGUAUCUUAUGAACUAUUCCUUAUGUAUUAACUUAUAGGGUUCUCAUUAUCCACAAUAGGUCAACCAUUUGGGUAUCCAUUCAUUAAGUCUAUAUCCGUUAUCAAUUUCAAAAGUCCUAUGAGUUGUCAGAAAUUAGAUCAUUUGUUUUGUAACCCAAAAAUAAAUAACCAAUAUAAUUGGAUUAAAUAUAUGAU
rnacentral:lncRNA from 1 species